ACUUCGUGGGCUCUCCGUUUUAUAACGAUUAUGGCCAGCUUUUCCCCUCACAGUGUUGUCCAGGCCAUGUUGGUCCGUGUAACCAAAUGGUAGCAGACUGUGACACGACGAUCACAGGUUGCUUUCCAAAGAUCAAGCAGCUGAUUGACGAAAACACAUCGGUUAUUGUCGGAGUCGCCUGGGAAUUGCAGCUCUGGAGAUAUGUGCCAUAGCUGUUGCCAUGAUCCGUUACUGCAGAAUAAAAUCCAGGGGGAACUAACUGCAAAUGGAAAAGGAUCGGUCUAAUCACUGGAGCAUUUACUUCCUUUAUCCCCUCUAGAAGAAUGAAGGGCUAUGAUUGUAUUUUGCUAAAAAUGCCUCGUUAUUAAAGAUAUCAGAUAUUUUGAAAUCAGAACGACUGAAUGACAUAACAAAUCAAUUUGUAUUACAUUUAAAUCUAUCUAAUAGAUGCCGCACCUGAAUGAUCUAUUUCCUAAGAACAAAAAAAGCUUCACAUACUGCCUACUUUAUCAAAAAUAUUUAAAAUAUCAUCAGUCACUCACUAAUGUACCACAUGGCCAGGUGAUGACAAAGGCUGGCAUGCAGAACACAGGAAACACUAUUGUAAUGUUGUUGCCAUGAUGCAGCUUGUGAAAUAGCAAUAGGAGUUAUGCAUUAUUUCUAUGUAUGUUGUGUGGUGAUCAAUUUUAAAAUAAUGUAUAAGGUAUUUCG